rnacentral:antisense_RNA from 1 species
ACUUUCAUCUUUCAGAGUGGAGAGCUUUCUCUGGGAGAAGGGUUCGAAUCCCAGAAGUCUGAACACUGCCACCCGGUACUUCUUGGACAUGAUGUUGUACAGAAUGGGGUUGAUGGCAGCACUGAGGUAGAAGAGGACAAAGGACACGAGGUUGCAGUACUGGCUGAUCUGAGCAAUCUCCAAGGAGCCAGGCUCAAAGGAUUUGGAAAAUAAAUAUCGCCCUACGUGGAAGGGGAGCCAGCAGAGGAUGAAGGCAAACACCACUACAGCUAAAAGGACAAUGGGAGAGAGAUAGUCAGCUCAAGAAAUGUCACAGCAAAUCACAUUCUAUUUUUAAGACUUUGUUUUUGUUUCAUGGUCUAUGACCAUUGACUUCAGAGAAACAUUGUGUCCUGCUCUUCCUGUUCCAACAUUUUAACAAAGAUUCAGUCUGUCUGGACCAACAGUUCAACAAUUUUUACUGAGCUCCCCAGUCAUUUCUAUUUAACAACUAUCUGAGUGAUUUUGUACUGAGUUGACACAUUGACUCAACUGACUAGACCAUUUAUUCACAAUAGUCCAGCAGUUUUUAUGUGUUAGACACAACAGACACACUUACGAGGUAAAGUGGUUGUACUCAACCAUAGCUGUGUAUCCGAGUCUCCUGGGGCACUUUUUAAAACAAUGCAGAUUCCUUGGAUGUAGUAUAGACUCAGUCAAUUUAAAUCUCUAAGAGGGCGAUCAGGACAUAUGUUUUAUCUUCUCUUUUUUUUUUUUAAGUUUCACAGAGGAUUGAAUAUACAGUUAGGAUUAAGAAUCACUGAGAUGAAUGAUUCUAUGCCACUUACAAUAGACAUAAGUAAGGCUAUUAUUAAACCAACUCAUAUAAAUUAUCAUCCAUCCAAGUCUUCAUUUUGCCUAUGUAAGAUAAUUUUUAAUGAUGUCUAAAUGUUUAGAUUGUUUUAAAUUCAGAAAUCAGGGAAAAAUAAUAACAAAUAAUUUUUUAGUCGUUGUAACACUUUAGUGAUCCCCUUCAAAUUGUCAAGGAAGAAGAAAGUUAACAUUGGUGUUGAGACACCAAUGAAGAAAUUAAUGGCUUGAAAAUAAAAUUGGAGGAAAUUAUUAAACUUAUCCUUAAAACUAAGUUGUAUAGUAGCAACUUAACUGCCACAGUAACAAUGUGACUCUCGUAGG